rnacentral:tRNA from 1 species
CGCCAGGAAUAGCUCAAAUUAGGUAAAGCACACGAGACUCGAAAAUCCUCGUGUCACCAGUCCAAAGUAAAUCCAAAGUCCCGUACGU